rnacentral:rRNA from 1 species
UUGAACGCUGGCGGAAUGCUUUACACAUGCAAGUCGAGCGGCAGCGCGGGGGCAACCCUGGCGGCGAGCGGCGAACGGGUGAGUAAUACAUCGGAACGUACCCAGUUGUGGGGGAUAGCCCGGCGAAAGCCGGAUUAAUACCGCAUAAGUCCUGAGGGAGAAAGCGGGGGACCGUAAGGCCUCGCGCGAUUGGAGCGGCCGAUGUUCGAUUAGCUAGUUGGUGGGGUAAAGGCCUACCAAGGCGACGAUCGAUAGCUGGUCUGAGAGGACGACCAGCCACACUGGAACUGAGACACGGUCCAGACUCCUACGGGAGGCAGCAGUGGGGAAUUUUGGACAAUGGGGGCAACCCUGAUCCAGCCAUUCCGCGUGAGUGAAGAAGGCCUUCGGGUUGUAAACUGCUUUUGUACGGAACGAAACGGUUCUCUUUAAUAAAGAGGGCUAAUGACGGUACCGUAAGAAUAAGCACCGGCUAACUACGU